rnacentral:rRNA from 1 species
GGGAGCCUGAGAAACGGCUACCACUUCUAAGGAAGGCAGCAGGCGCGCAAAUUACCCAUUCUCAGUACGAGGAGGUAGUGACGAAAAAUACCAAGGUGAGGCCCUAUGGGUUUCGCCAUUGGAAUGAGAACAAUAUAAAUCUUUUAACGAGUAACAAGUGGAGGGCAAGUCUGGUGCCAGCAGCCGCGGUAAUUCCAGCUCCACAAGUGUAUUCCUAUAUUGUUGCGGUUAAAAAGCUCGUAGUUGGAUCUGAGUGCUUAGCGGGUGGUACAGUGUUUCACUGUCACUGCUUCGCGGCACAUAACCGUCGACUGGCUGCUGUUGUUGCCUUCACCGGUGACGGCAGUUAGCUAUCGACAUGUUUACUUUGAACAAAUCAGAGUGCUCAAAACAGGCGUUUCGCUUGUAUGUUUUUGCAUGGAAUAAUAGAAUAGGACCUUGGGUCUAUUUUGUUGGUUUUCGGAAUCAAGGUAAUGAUUAAGAGGGACAGACGGGGGCAUUCGUACUGCAACGGGAGAGGUGAAAUUCUUGGAUCGUUGCAAGACGAACUACUGCGAAAGCAUUUGCCAAGAAUGUUUUCAUUAAUCAAGAACGAAAGUAACGGGUUCGAAGGCGAUCAGAUACCGCCCUAGUCGUUACCGUAAACGAUUGUAACCGGGAGCUAGCAGGCGCUUUACUAUGGCUCUGCUAGAACCCACCCGGAAACGAAGAGUUUUCGAUAUCCGGGGGAAGUAUACUUGCAAAUGUGAAACUUAAAGGAAUUGACGGAAGGGCACCACCAGGGGUGGAGCCUGCGGCUUAAUUUGACCCAACACGGGGAAACUCAUCCGGUCCGGACACCGUAAGGAUUGACAGAUUGAGAGCUCUUUCUUGAUUUGGUGGGCAGUGGUGCAUGGCCGUUCUUAGUUGGUGGAGUGAUUUGUCUGGUUUAUUCCGAUAACGAACGAGACUCUAGCCUACUAACUAGUUAUGCGAUCUUCUUGUCGUAUUAACUUCUUAGAGGGACAAGCGGUGCUCAGCCGCAUGAAAAAGAGCAAUAACAGGUCUGUGAUGCCCUUCGAUGUUCGGAGCUGCACGCGCGCUACACUGUAGAAUGCAACGUGCUAGCUUGCCUCGCUCGCAAGAGUGGGGUAAUCGGUUGAAAUUUCUACGUGAUUGGGAUAGGGACUUGUAAUUAUUUCCCUUGAACGAGGAAUCCCUAGUAAGUGCAGGUCAUCAGCUUGUGCUGAUUACGUCCCUGCCCUUUGUACACACCGCCCGUCGCUGCCCGGAACUGAGCCAUUUCGAGAAAAAUGGGGACUGAUUGCUUGUGAGCACGCAAGUGCUUCUUGCAGUCGGAAACCAUCUUGAUCGGUAUGGCUUGAACCGGGCAAAAGUCGUAACAAGGUU